GUCUAGAAAGAAAGAAGAACGAAAGGAUGAUUUUGAUAGGAGGCUCACUGAAGAUUUCCAGUCAAACAUUAAAUUUUUCUGGAAAUCCAUCAAAACAGCCAGAGGAAAAAUUUCUCCCUCGGAGCUGAGCACAAUCAGGAGUCAAGAUGGGAGCGUUAUAAAUGGAGAAGAAUGUGUGUUAAAGAGAUGGAAAGAGUAUUUUGAAAGUGUGUUUGAAAGAGAGGAAGUGCAGGAGAUGGUAACUGCUAUGAGUGGAGCUUUUGUUAGAAAGGGAAUGAAGAUGAAUGUAAAGAAGACGAAAGUGAUGGUGUUUGAAAGAGAUGAGGUAGCGACAGACUGUAAUAUCGUGAUUGGAGAUGAACAAAUUGAACAGGUGAAUGAGUUUGUGUAUCUGGGUUCGAAGUUUACAAGAGAUGGAAAGUGUGAGAGUGAUAUUGAAAGAAG
rnacentral:misc_RNA from 1 species